rnacentral:rRNA from 1 species
CAGCCGCCACGGUAAUACGUAGGGUGCAAGCGUUAAUCGGAAUUACUGGGCGUAAAGCGUGCGCAGGCGGUUCUAUAAGACAGAUGUGAAAUCCCCGGGCUCAACCUGGGAACUGCAUUUGUGACUGUAGAGCUGGAGUGCGGCAGAGGGGGAUGGAAUUCCGCGUGUAGCAGUGAAAUGCGUAGAUAUGCGGAGGAACACCGAUGGCGAAGGCAAUCCCCUGGGCCUGCACUGACGCUCAUGCACGAAAGCGUGGGGAGCAAACAGGAUUAGAUACCCCGGUAGUCCCUGUCUCUUAUAC